CAGUGGUUAACGCUGCUUGCUCCC
rnacentral:piRNA from 1 species